CGUAACACGUGAGCAACCUACCGAUUUGUGGGGGAUAGCCGGCCCAACGGCCGGGUAAUACCGCAUACGCUCUUUGGGCUUCAUGGCCUAUUGAGGAAACCUCCGGGGCAAAUCGAGGGGCUCGCGUCCUAUCAGCUAGUUGGCGAGGUCACGGCUCACCAAGGCGACGACGGGUAGCUGGUCUGAGAGGAUGGCCAGCCACAUUGGGACUGAGAUACGGCCCAG
rnacentral:rRNA from 1 species